rnacentral:rRNA from 1 species
AGCCUGCCCAGUGACAAAAUUCAACGGCCGCGGUACCCUAACCGUGCGAAGGUAGCAUAAUCACUUGUUCUCUAAAUAGGGACUAGUAUCAACGGCAUCACGAGGGCUGUACUGUCUCCUUUCUCCAAUCAGUGAAACUGAUCUCCCCGUGAAGAAGCGGGGAUUAUUAUAUAAGACGAGAAGACCCCAUGGAGCUUUAAACUCAUCACUCACUUCCUCACCUCCAUGCCCGACCAUAUAAGGAAUCUGUGUGAUAGUUUUGGGUUGGGGGGACCACGGAGUACAAUUUAACCUCCAUGACAAAUGGGCUAACGCCCUUAUCUAUGAACUACAACUCUAAGAAUCAUAAACUGAUGUUUGAUGACCCGACAAUUCGAUCAACGAACCAAGUUACCCUGGGGAUAACAGCGCAAUCUACUUCAAGAGCCCCUAUCGACAAGUAGGUUUACGACCUCGAUGUUGGAUCAGGGUGUCCUAGGGGUGCAGCCGCUCCUAACGGUUCGUUUGUUCAACGAUUAAAACCCUACGG